GACGAACGCUGGCGGCGUGCUUAACACAUGCAAGUCGAACGGAGUGCCUCGGAAAGAGAUUUCGGUCAAUGGAAGAGGAUACUUAGUGGCGGACGGGUGAGUAACGCGUGAGGAACCUACCUCUCAGAGGGGGACAACAGUUGGAAACGACUGCUAAUACCGCAUAAUAUAUCUGUAUCGCAUGGUAUGGAUAUCAAAGAUUUAUCGCUGAGAGAUGGCCUCGCGUCUGAUUAGCUAGUUGGUAGGGUAACGGCCUACCAAGGCGACGAUCAGUAGCCGGACUGAGAGGUUGGCCGGCCACAUUGGGACUGAGAUACGGCCCAG
rnacentral:rRNA from 1 species